CUCAGUAUAUUCGCUUCUAUUAUGAUUUGAAUAUUUACAGCGUUAGUUUUUAUUGGCUACACCAUAAAUAAUUCUGUGUAUUUCAUAGAAUGAAAAUCAGUCAGCGUAUUAUGAAGAGAUUAUAUAAACUCGAUGGAUAUGUCGUUAAAAACAUGAAAUGAUUAUGUUAUGUGAAACAUGUAAAAUAAUUAUGAUUGUGCAAAAUAAUCUAUACUCUCAGAGUAAAGCACUUUUUGUUGACGCAAAAAAUAUCCGAUUUCUCAAACUGAAUUGAUAACAUUCAUUAAGUCAAAAUUAAAACAAACACUUAAUUGGCGCAAAAUGUUGGUAUUAUAUUCAUCUCAAAUUAAAGAACGUUGGGUAAAAAAGCAAUCUGGUUUGAUAGAACGUUCUCUCUUUCUUUAAAUAGACGGGUUUACUAGAAAUGAAAUUCGUCUGUGAGAAGGUAUUUUAGUGAGAUUUGAGAUAUUUUACGUUUAUUGAUUCUUAUAGUUCUAAAUAUGCAAUAAAGAACAUUCAUAUUAAAAAUACAUCGUAAAAAAUGUCACAACGAGUUCGAUGCCAAUAAUAUACAUACUAUAAAAAAAAACUCGGAUGAAAGGAUAUUAAGGUGAAUAAAAGUGACUUUGUGUAAAAACAAAUGAAAUAGAGCGGACGGGCUUGCCAAGAAAAAGCCCAUGCUUGUAUGAUAAACAAACCCCUGUGUCUUACUUUCGAUAAUUAUAUGUAUUUUACAAAAUCAGUCAUACAAUAACGGAUAGAGACGGAAGAAGAUACCACCAAAAAAUAACAAUAUAUGAUAUAUCAAAAGUUAAAACGAAUGAAGUACAAACAUUCAUUAUAAAAAUAUAAUAUUCGCUUGAGAGAAACAUUAUGCCAGUGCAGGCAGCGAAUAGUUUAACCAACCUAUUUAGAAACCAAAUGAUAAAACUAUACAAUUUUUAUUCAUUCACUUAAAAUCCCCCUUCGUCAUCAUACCAAUAUGGUAUAAGCAAUAAAUGUCAAACUAAAAUAUUUCGCGUGACACAGAACAAAAUAUCGAAUAUAACUUAUAGACUAACUUGCCAGAAAUCCAUUUCCAAACGACAAAAACCUUAGUAUUCACGAAGAGAACAAAUUACUUUAUUUACCAAACUGAAGACAUCAGUGAUAUUUGUAUGGGGACAGUUAUCAUGGUUAUUGUUUUUCUAUCAAUGAAAUAUUUACAAAGUAUCCUUUUCAGUCUCAAUAGUUCUACAAGGUUGAACUUCAAAAUUCACGUGUACGAUGUUUUCUUUUAAUAAUAAUAAUAAUAAUUAGACCAUUUAUAUAGCGCAGUCACUAUAUAAAUAUACUCUACUGCGCUGUAGUGUGACAGAGCUCCCAACAAUGCUACUGCUCAAACAAAUUAAACAAAAAACUUCUGAAAAAAGAUGGGUCUUCAAUAAAUGUUUGAAGAUGGUAACAGUUGGUGCUUUUCGUAUUUCCAGGGGUAAUUUGUUCCAAAGCUUUGUACAGCACAACUGAAAGCACGAUCCCCAAGAGUUACUUUUUGUUCUCAAGUGAGGUAGCUUUAGAAGCAGCUUAUCCUGUGUACUUCGUAAGUUAUGUGCAUAUGAAUGUGACCUAAAUGAUAUUAAUUCAGACAAGUAAUUCGGAGCUUGACCAUUCAGUGCUUUGUAAACAAGCAAAAGUAUCUUAAAUGCAAUUCUCUGCCUUAUUGGCAACCAAUGUAAUUGAAUCAGAACAGGUG